CGCUCUCAAUAAAUAUAAGUUCGCCGUCAUUUUGUCAAAAUCAUCGUGGUAGAAGCAAACAAUAUAGACCCUGUCUAGAGGAAAUAUUCAUCUCCAAUUUGUGAAGGAGAAAAUGCAAGCGAGUAAUUCACCCACAUCAUGUUUUUAAGAUAAAAGUGAAUCCUAUAAUUAGUAGAGCCCAACUGAAUUACUAUCCUUACUAACUAAUAUUUACAUUCAUCCCAAUUGUUACCCGUUCUUAGUUAUGAUGGAAUAAUGAUUCCAGCAACAAAUAAAAGUUCACUAUAACGCGCACCAAGAGUGACUCAAAAUAGCAGUCUCCUCCCAAGCUUGUGCAUGGGGAAAAGAUAAAUUUUCACGGCUAUCUGCAAUAUUUGAUGCAAGACUUUGUAGCUUAUAUCAAUGGUAUAGCUGCAACAUUUUUACCUUGUGUACGUCAUUCAAACAGUUAGCCUCUUGUAUCAAUAGUAUAGCUGCAAGAUUUUACCUUGUGUCAUCCAAACAGUUAGUCAGAAGCAACUGGGCUAACUCAAGCUAACAACAACUUGAUAGAAUAUCAAUACCUAAUGAAUAUUGUAGAAGGAAUAAUCACCGAUCAAUGUAAUCAAGAACUCAAGAAGAAAAACAAAUGUGCAUGUAGACAGGAUAGUCUUUGAUUAUUAGUAGGGGCUUGGCAUCAGGUUUCCUAACCUACCUAAGACACAAAGAUUAAGCAACUCACAACAAUGAAACUCAACUUAAACUCCACAAAAUCCUACAACUAAUAGGAAUACUUGAGGAGAUAACAAACCUUCAAGAAUUGUUCAGCUAAAAGUGUAUAGGUUCAUCAAAGUUUUAGCUCAUUCAACGGUCCUUCUUAAAGUGCUCCAGUUGAAUUCUUUUUAGUAUUGAGAAUAAGCUAAGAAGGAAGACAAAGAAUUUAAGGCAACAAAGUUACUGAUCUCAAUAGAAAAUUAGUGAUUGAAAAUGACAAGUUCAACUAAUAAAAAACUACCGAGCUGAAUAUCUAACAUGAGAUUUGCCUUAUAUAUACAUACAUGUAGGAAAGGUAAAAAAUAAAUAAAAGACAAACAUACCUGCUGAAAAUGUUCAGAAUCAUAACAACAGUAUUGCAAGCAUUCUCCCCUGUUCUUCUUCCGAAUGAAGCUGUCUAAAAGAUAACAAAAAGGCAGAGGAUCAUUUCUCCACACAUCAUCUAUUUUCACAUUUUACUCAUUUUAAUUUUGAAGUACAAACAUCACAUGACAGAGUUGCUUUCAAUUGCUUUUGUAGGCAAAGGAAAAACAUAUUAAGACGACAUAAGAGAAGAUCAUGAGAGAAAAUGUAUGAAAUCGGAACUCUCAAACAAAUAUUCUUUCAUCACGACGGAAAAACUAACAUCUAUUAUAAUCUAUGUUCUUUCCCAAUGGAUUGGUGCGUAUUACUCUUUUCUCUUUCAGUUGUACAAGAUAUUGUUUCUGCAAUGUACAAACACAUAAGCAAUAUAUCUUUAACAAAUAUAAGUAAAGAACAUUUAUGUUCAGUCACAAGUUGCACUGAGCAAAUUGAUGACCGUUAAACCAUUUCAACAGACAUUUAGGUUAUCUCAACUCUACUUUGUGGAGGUGAAGAUGGGAUUUUCAAUAGACCCAAAGCAAAUUAAACAUUGAGGUUAAAUAUUUGUAAUACUUGUGAUACGACAAGAGAGUCUGGGAUCGCCUGCUAUGGCUGCAAGCACAGAUUACAGGGUAAUUUGCCAUCCGGGUUGCCCGACCAAGAUAAGGAUCCGAUUUUUUCCCUACACUAUUGAUUUGCUCAGAGAAAAAAGAAAAUCAUCAUUAUAGCCUCAGAAUUUUCGCACCAAUUAUUAUUAGUAAUUACUACUACUGCUAUUGAUUCUCACUUUGGGUUGAGAAUUUUUUGAGAGAGCAAGCAUAGAUUAAGGGACCGUUUGGUAGUUGAAGAACUUAAAAUGGCUGUUGAAAUAUAUUUUUCACAGCAAAAAUUGAAAUCACAGGCAUUGCAGAGAGAGGAGCAACAUACCUUUGAAGUGUUCCCCUUUACUCUCUACAACCCUCAUUCUUUGGCUCUAAAUCUAAGAUAAGUCUUUUUCCUUUAACAGAAAAAUUCUCAUGUGUUUAUCGACCUGUGAAUUCAACAGUUGUAAUGUUCAAAGAAAUUUAUAUCAGCAAAUGAAACACUGAGGCUCAGAUCUGUAAUACUUACAACUCGGCAAGAGUGACUUGAAUCGCCACCUCAAUGGCUGCAAGCACCAAUUGCAGGGUCACUUCCAUCCAAGUUAACCAAACCAAGAUACGUGUCAAAUUUCUGUC
rnacentral:lncRNA from 1 species